AUUAUAAAAGAAAAAAUUGUAUACAGAUUCAAAUUGAACCUCCUUUUUUGCCUUUAGCUCCACCACUGGUCCCAAAUAAUCAUUAAUUUCUACAUACAGAUUCAUUAUUUCGCAGAAUCAUUUAGUUCAUUUGCCUUCUCUACACUAUUGAAACACGAAAGCAUAAGCACUUGCAAGAAGGUGAAAUGAAACUCUAAAGUGUCUAGAGGAAGUUUUAUCGCGAAAAUGUCACAGAGGGAAGUUUUUGUCAGAGCAGAUAAAACCCAUGUAACAAAUAACAUGAAUUACUCGGAUAUAUUUUCCUUCUCUACACUAUUGAAACACGAAAGCAUAAGCACUUACAAGAAGGUGAAAUGAAACUCUAAAGUGUCUAGAGGAAGUUUUAUCGCGAAAAUGUCACAGAGGGAAGUUUUUGUCAGAGCAGAUAAAACCCAUGUAACAAAUAACAUGAAUUACUCGGAUAAUAACAUAAAUCUUACUCCUAUUUAACAAGUAGUAGUCACAUUCUAG
rnacentral:lncRNA from 1 species